rnacentral:rRNA from 1 species
AACCCUCUUUCGACAGGGACGAAGCUUUUGUGACGUUACCUGUAUAAGAAGCACCGGCUAACUACGUGCCAGCAGCCGCGGUAAUACGUAGGGUGCGAGCGUUGUCCGGAAUUACUGGGCGUAAAGAGCUCGUAGGUGGUUUGUCGCGUCGUCUGUGAAAUUCCGGGGCUUAACUUCGGGCGUGCAGGCGAUACGGGCAUAACUUGAGUGCUGUAGGGGAGACUGGAAUUCCUGGUGUAGCGGUGGAAUGCGCAGAUAUCAGGAGGAACACCGAUGGCGAAGGCAGGUCUCUGGGCAGUAACUGACGCUGAGGAGCGAAAGCAUGGGGAGCGAACAGGAUUAGAUACCUUGGGGUAGUCA